rnacentral:rRNA from 1 species
CUUCGGACACUCUUCAAGGUUCUGCAUGGUUGUCGUCAGCUCGUGCCGUGAGGUGUCGGCUUAAGUCCCAUAACGAGCGCAACCCUUACCGUUAGUUACCAUCAGGUUAGUGCUGGGGACUCUAGCGGGACUUCCACCGUAAGGUGAGAGGAAGGUGGGGAUUGACGUCAUAUCAGCACGGCCCUUAUGUUCAGGGCUACACACGUGUUACAAUGGCCAGUACAAAGGGCAGCUACUUGGUGACAAGAUGCUAAUCUCUAAAGCUGGUCUCAGUUCGGAUCGAAGUCUGCAACCCGACUUCGUGAAGCUGGAUUCGCUAGUAAUCGCGCAUCAGCCAUGGCGCGGUGAAUACGUUCCCGGGCCUUGUACACACCGCCCGUCAAACCAUGGAAGUGGGGGGUACCUGAAGUCUGUCAC